AGAAGAGUGUACACGAUGGCU
rnacentral:siRNA from 1 species